rnacentral:rRNA from 1 species
UACGUAGGUGGCAAGCGUUGUCCGGAAUUAUUGGGCGUAAAGCGCGCGCAGGCGGUUCGGUAAGUCUGAUGUGAAAGCCCACGGCUCAACCGUGGAGGGUCAUUGGAAACUGCUGAACUUGAGUGCAGAAGAGAAGAGUGGAAUUCCACGUGUAGCGGUGAAAUGCGUAGAGAUGUGGAGGAACACCAGUGGCGAAGGCGACUCUUUGGUCUGUAACUGACGCUGAGGCGCGAAAGCGUGGGGAGCAAACAGG